AACAGAUCAGAGCAGAAAGGAGAACAGACCCAGGAUUCACUGCCAUACUCAGUGGCCUUAUAGGCUCUUAGGUUUCCUCUGCUCUCUUCUUUACUAAUGACCCCAGUAAUCAGUCCAUAAGGCUUGCUUUGCCCCCUGUGAAUUCACUGAAAUUGUCACAAUUUUUGGAGAUGGGUCAAAGUAGUAAUGCAGAAUCUAUGGAUAAGGUGGCUUGGCUGUAUUUACAAAGGUCAGAUUAAAGUUCACAUCCGAGGCAAAA
rnacentral:lncRNA from 1 species